AAGUCGUAACAAGGUUUCCGUAGGUGAACCUGCNNAAGGAUCAUUAUUGAAAUAAUCCUGAUGGGUUGCUGCUGGUUCUCUAGGGAACAUGUGCACACUUGUCAUCUUUAUAUCUUCACCUGCGCACCUUUUGUAGGCCUAGAUAUUUUUCAGAGUGCCUCCCAGCAUUCUGGUAUGAGGAAUGACUUUGCUGUCUUUCCUUACAUUUUUAGGCCUAUGUUUCUUCAUAUACCCCAAUGUAUGUUACAGAAUGUAGUCAAUAGGUGUUUGUGCCUAUAAAUCUAUACAACUUUCAGCAACGGAUCUCUUGGCUCUCGCAUCGAUGAAGAACGCAGCGAAAUGCGAUAAGUAAUGUGAAUUGCAGAAUUCAGUGAAUCAUNGAAUCUUUGAACGCACCUUGCGCUCCUUGGUAUUCCGAGGAGCAUGCCUGUUUGAGUGUCAUUAAUAUAUCAAUCUCCUCAGCUUUUUUGCUUGUUGAGUUUUGGAUGUGGGGGUUCUCUUUUGCUGGCUUCUUUUCAAGAGGUCAGCUCCCCUAAAAUGCAUUAGCGGAGCAAUUUGUUGACCGUCAUUGGUGUGAUAACUAUCUACGCUAUUGACGGUUAAAGCAUGUUCAGCUUCUAACAGUNCAUUGACUUGGACAACUUUUUCAUUAAUGUGACCUCAAAUCANGUAGGGACUACCCGCUGAACUUAA
rnacentral:rRNA from 1 species